rnacentral:rRNA from 1 species
CCUACGGGAGGCAGCAGUGGGGAAUUUUGGACAAUGGGCGAAAGCCUGAUCCAGCCAUGCCGCGUGAGUGAAGAAGGCCUUCGGGUUGUAAAGCUCUUUCAGCCGGAAAGAAAUCGCGCAGGCUAAUACUCUGCGUGGAUGACGGUACCGGAAGAAGAAGCACCGGCUAACUACGUGCCAGCAGCCGCGGUAAUACGUAGGGUGCGAGCGUUAAUCGGAAUUACUGGGCGUAAAGCGUGCGCAGGCGGUUAUAUAAGACAGAUGUGAAAUCCCCGGGCUCAACCUGGGAACUGCGUUUGUGACUGUAUGACUAGAGUACGGCAGAGGGAGGUGGAAUUCCGCGUGUAGCAGUGAAAUGCGUAGAUAUGCGGAGGAACACCGAUGGCGAAGGCAGCCUCCUGGGGCCAGUACUGACGCUCAUGCACGAAAGCGUGGGGAGCAAACAGGAUUAGAUACCCUGGUAGUCCACGCCCUAAACGAUGUCAACUAGUUGUUCGGUGAGGAGACUCAUUGAGUAACGCAGCUAACGNGUGAAGUUGACCGUUCCGUUGGGGAGUUACGGGCCGCGAAGGGUUAAAACUUCGAAAGGAAGUUGACGG